rnacentral:lncRNA from 1 species
ACCUAGCCUGGGGAGCAAGGGGAGUAGGGAGGGAAUCUUUAGGAAUAGGGUCAUCAAUUAUCAACUAUGGCUGAGGCAUUGGCGGUUUGGUUUCACUUUUACGGGACAGCGAAUGGGAGUUUUCUAAAAAAAUCUUCAGUAAGGGCUAAGAGGCAGGCGCCUUCUCCGCCCUCUUCUGACUGUUUAAGGAGGUCUCUGACUAUUCCCCAAUAGCUAAAAAAGGACUCAGGGACAUCUUCUCCUUGUUUUAUCAAAGCAUUGAUAUCUUUGCCUACUUUAUUCCAAGUUAAAGGGUGUAUUUCAGGACCAUUCAAUACCAGCCAUGGACAUCUCUCGUCCACAAAACAAAAAAAAUUUAUUAAAUCCUUUUUCUUAACUUUUAUCCCUCUCUCCUUAAGAGACCCCUUCAUCUCUUGAAUAAAAACUGCCUCUUUGGACAGAACCUUCCCCAUGGUAAAUGGGACAACAACUGAAUGCCUAGGCUUACCUCUCUAUGUCUGCAACACUCGAGCAAAGUGGCGGGGAACUGUCUCACUGUCUGCAUGGUACCUCUUGAAUCCGUUGUCCGGAGGGUGGUCAUGCCUCGUACCCCACGUCUGGUGCCACUUGACCCGUCCAGCAGGUCCAGUUAUUGGAGGGUCUCAAGGGGACCUUCUCUUAAGAACCAAAUUGGGGGGGGGGGGAGAAAAGAUGGACACCAAGUGCGAAGAAGGACAUGGAACCAUUCUGAAUAACAUCAAGGUGUCACUGUAUUAGCAAGGCUCAAGGCUUAAAUGCACAAGCAAAAGGGGACGUACUUCUCAGCAGGAGGAAUGGGGCAGCGGAAAUUUUUCUUUUGGCGACUGCUCGGGGAAGCAGGAACUUGGUGGUAUCAGGGUGCAUCUUGAGGUCAGGACAUCCAGUGCUGACUUAGGGCUGGAACAAUCUGUGGUUGUUCUCGGAGUGGUGCAUCGGUGGCCCACUUUUGACCCCCUUUUCUUCUCGAGGGGGAGAGGCCCAAUUCAGAGAUCAGGACAAUUGUAUUGUCUUAAUAGCUCUCAACAUAUAUUUGCUUUUUUCUUUAAAUUAUUUACUUAAUAACUGACAAGCUAAGAUGUGUCACGUUUGUCUGGUAUAGUGUGAUGUCUCUAUACAUGUACCCCCACGGAUGGGGCAGUCACGCUGUUUAACAUAUAUCCCCUGAGCUCUUAUGUUUAUGGAGGACUUGUGUGGUCUUUCUUUGGAUGGACAGUGUGCUGUUAGUACUUACCACCAUCUUGUACUAAAGAUCUCUUGAACUCAUUCUUCCUGUGUAAUUAAUACUUUGUGUGUUUUGACAAGCUGUCCCCAACCACUCCUAGUGAGCAGUACUCUGACCUCAGCUGCAGUGAAUAUGACUCCUGGAUCCCAUGUCUUUGUGGUGCUUCCCUUUCUGAACUGACAGUGCAGAGUUUCUCAAGGUCGUUUGUAUUGUCACAAAGUGGCAGGGUUCCAUUCUUUUGAUAGCUGGAUCCUAGCCCGUUGUGUGCAUGUAGCACAUUUCUUCGUUCGUGCACCAGCUGAUGGAUGCUUAGGUUCCUUUCUAGAAGCUGGAUUGCUUGAUCAUGUGAUAAUUCUGUCCUCAUGGUUUCAAGAAACCUCUAUAUUGUUUUUCAUCCGCUGGCUAGUCACAUUAUAAUCCCAUUGCUGAUUUCAGAGGCUCUCUUCUCUCUUCACCCUCACCAGCACAAGUUAUGUUAAAAAAUUUUAAUGACAGCCAUUCUGUUAUAACAGGCACAAGGUGAUAUCCCUUUGAAGAAGUUUUAAUUUUGUACUUUUAAAAUUAAAAUAUAAAUUUACUUCCUAUGCGUAUGGCAGGAACGGCGAUGCUGCGAUGCAUGUGUGGAGGUGGAGGACAGCUUAUGGGAAUUGGGUCUCUUUUCACCAUGAGGAUUGUGGGAGAUCAAAUUCAGCUUGAUGGCAUGCUUCUUAACCCACUGAGUCUUCUUGAAUGGAUUUGUCUAUCUUGUGCUGUUAAUUUUUGAAGCUGACUUCAAGCACAGUCAGGAGACUGGGCCCAAGAAAGACACCUAAGGGGCAGGGUUGUGCUAAUCAUGUUCCAGAGUCUGAAGCUAAACUGUUUGACAUCCUGGCAUUGUGGGCAAAGCCUGCUGUCUGGCUGCUCCAUUGCUGCAGACCCUCUGGGUUCCUUUGUCUGUGUGGAACGAGUCUCUGGGGCAGGUGGACAAGGCGUCGGCGGGUGACAGACACACCAACACACGAGAUUGUGUAGAAUCUGAAUGUAUUCUCACAAAGUGAACACCAGUCUUAUAUAGUAAAGAAAAUACAAGGGGUUGGAAGUCACAGCAGGCAAGGUACAUUGAAGUUACCUGAUACAAAACAAAGGAAUGACUACAAAAGGACUUACAGGAACCAGGUAAAUGUUUACAAUAAAGAUAAAGCAGUCUUACCUAGGGUCAGCUUAGUGACAGGUAAGGAUUUCACACUCUAGUGCUAUACCUUUGAUCCUUGUGAACAGGCUAACACCAGGGGUUUCUGCUCUUAGCAGACCUCAUGAAUAAUGCAAUAUCACAACCCCCCUAUCUCCUAGGCCUUGCUAAAUUCUUAUAUGAGUGUAACUUUUAAGUAACUGGAGACUCUCCAUUUGUCAGAAGAAUUUACCAACUUGCUUCUAAUAUGCAAUGUAGCCUGUACUGAAGAUUUCUAUUUCAGUGGGAUUCCCUGCCUCUUUCAUGGUAUUCCCUUGUUUGGGUGAGAUUUGCUACUGUCCUUAGUAAAUAUUUUGCAGACCAGCUCUGAGCUACUGGCUCCAUCUUUUGUAAUGCUUAAUUAGUUACCUAAUAGGUUAACUUCCUUACUGCAUUCUUACAGGAUUCUAAGCUUGGCUUCUGGGACCUUGGAACAUUGGGGAGACUUAACUAUAACAGAAUUUAAUCUUAAAGGGCAUUU